UAGCGGCAGGCUUAACACAUGCAAGGUCAGGGGCAGCACGGGUAGCAAUACCUGGUGGCGACCGGCGCAAGGGUGCGUAACGCGUGAGCAACAUGCCCUAUACAGGGGGAUAAUCCAGGGAAACUUGGUCUAAUAUCCCAUAGUAUUUAGAGGAGGCAUCUUCUAUAAAUUAAAGCUUCGGUGGUAUAGGAUUGGCUCGCGUGACAUUAGCUAGAUGGUGAGGUAACGGCUCACCAUGGCAAUGAUGUCUAGGGGUUCUGAGAGGAAGGCCCCCCACACUGGGACUGAGACACGGCCCAGACUCCUACGGGAGGCAGCAGUGAGGAAUAUUGGACAAUGGAUGGAAAUCUGAUCCAGCCAUGCCGCGUGCAGGAAGACAGCCCUAUGGGUUGUAAACUGCUUUUAUAUGGGAGCAAUAAGGUCUACGUGUAGACUGAUGAGAGUACCAUAUGAAUAAGCAUCGGCUAACUCCGUG
rnacentral:rRNA from 1 species